rfam:Otolemur garnettii contig187805, whole genome shotgun sequence.
GCCAGACGUGGUGGCAUGCACCUGUAGUCCCAGCUAUUUGGGAUGCUAAGAUAGGAUCGCUUGAGUCCAGGAGUUCUGGGCUGUAGUGUGCAAUGCCAAUUGGGUGUCCACACUAAGUUUGGCAUCAAUAUGGUGAAUUCCUGGGAGCAGGGGGCCACCAGGUUUCCUAAGGAGGGGUGAACUGCCCCAGGUUGGAAACAUAGCAGGUCAAAACUCCCAUGCUGAUAGUGGGAUCGCACUUGUCAAAAGCCACUGCACUCCAGCCUGAGCAACAUAGCAAGACCCUGUCUCUA